rnacentral:rRNA from 1 species
UGGGGAAUUUUGGACAAUGGGGGAAACCCUGAUCCAGCCAUCCCGCGUGUGCGAUGAAGGCCUUCGGGUUGUAAAGCACUUUUGGCAGGAAAGAAACGUCAUGGGUUAAUACCCCGUGAAACUGACGGUACCUGCAGAAUAAGCACCGGCUAACUACGUGCCAGCAGCCGCGGUAAUACGUAGGGUGCAAGCGUUAAUCGGAAUUACUGGGCGUAAAGCGUGCGCAGGCGGUUCGGAAAGAAAGAUGUGAAAUCCCAGAGCUCAACUUUGGAACUGCAUUUUUAACUACCGGGCUAGAGGGGGUCAGAGGGAGGUGGAAUUCCGCGUGUAGCAGUGAAAUGCGUAGAUAUGCGGAGGAACACCGAUGGCGAAGGCAGCCUCCUGGGAUAACACUGACGCUCAUGCACGAAAGCGUGGGGAGCAAACAGG